rnacentral:rRNA from 1 species
AACGAACGCUGGCGGCAUGCCUAACACAUGCAAGUCGAACGAGACCUUCGGGUCUAGUGGCGCACGGGUGCGUAACGCGUGGGAACCUGCCCUUAGGUUCGGAAUAAUUCCCCGAAAGGGGUGCUAAUACCGGAUAAUGUCUUCGGACCAAUGAUUUAUCGCCUUUGGAUGGGCCCGCGUUGGAUUAGCUAGUUGGUAGGGUAAAAGCCUACCAAGGCGGCGAUCCAUAGCUGGUCUGCGAGGAUGAUCAGGCACACUGGGACUGAGACACGGCCCAGACUCCUGCGGGAGGCAGCAGUGGGGAAUAAUGGACACUGGGCGAAAGCCUGAUCCCGCAAUGCCGCGUGAGUGAUGAAGGCCUUAGGGUUGUAAAGCUCUUUUACCCGGGAUGAUAAUGACAGUACCGGGAGAAUAAGCCCCGGCAACCUCCGU